GGCAGAGGUUCAAAAAACUCUGAGAAGGUUGGGCACCUCCUGAAGACCUCUCGUCCUGGCCAAGGCUACAUCCAAAAUAAUGCAGGUACUAAACCAUGUGAAUAAUAAAAUGCUCAUGCACUUGAAAACGAGACUGUGGCCCUGUCUGAAUGAAAUCCCGCGAGGAGAGAAAGACAGAAAGAUGUCCUCCUGCAGUUCAGGGGCGAGCAGGCGAAAGAGUGCCAGCUGUGCGAGCUGCGUUCUCCUCCUGAAGCACACGUCUAAAUGGAGCUCACAUCAUCGAGCCCCCCGACAGCUCUCUCAUCGCACCGUGAUGCUCGCCUCCUGGAGGGCCUCGGAUUGAGACGGGUCCUCACGCCGUCUCUUUCAUCCUGAGAGAUUCAGGACCCACUGAUUGUCUCACUGACUCCUUCACUACCUAACUGCCAGAGAGAGAGAG
ensembl:lncRNA